ensembl:snoRNA U3 Small nucleolar RNA U3
AAGACUAUACUUCCAGGGAUUGUUUCUAUAGUUUGUUACUAAAGAAGUUUCUCUGAAUGUGUAGAGCACCAGAAACCAUGAGAAGGAGGCACAGCACUGUUUCCUAAGCAUGAAGCUGGCUCUUAGUGUUGCUUCAUUGCAACUCCAAAUUGCCAUUUAUGUUCAUUCUUCUCUUUCUUCAGGAGAGUAAGAGGGAGAGAAUUCAGUUUGAGUGGU